rnacentral:rRNA from 1 species
UGUACGCUGCCGGUAGGCCUAACACAUGCAAGUCGAGCGGAAACGAUCCUAGCUUGCUAGGAGGCGUCGAGCGGCGGACGGGUGAGUAAUGCAUAGGAAUCUGCCCGGUAGUGGGGGAUAACUUGAGGAAACUCAAGCUAAUACCGCAUACGCCCUACGGGGGAAAGCAGGGGCUCUUCGGACCUUGCGCUAUCGGAUGAGCUUAUGUCGGAUUAGCUGGUUGGUGAGGUAACGGCUCACCAAGGCGACGAUCCGUAGCUGGUCUGAGAGGAUGAUCAGCCACAUCGGGACUGAGACACGGCCCGAACUCCUACGGGAGGCAGCAGUGGGGAAUAUUGGACAAUGGGGGCAACCCUGAUCCAGCCAUGCCGCGUGUGUGAAGAAGGCCCUCGGGUUGUAAAGCACUUUCAGCGAGGAAGAAUGCUUGUCGGUUAAUACCCGGCAAGGGAGACAUCACUCGCAGAAGAAGCACCGGCUAACUCCGUGCCAGCAGCCGCGGUAAUACGGAGGGUGCGAGCGUUAAUCGGAAUUACUGGGCGUAAAGCGUGCGUAGGCGGCUUGAUAAGCCGGUUGUGAAAGCCCCGGGCUCAACCUGGGAACGGCAUCCGGAACUGUUAGGCUAGAGUGCAGGAGAGGAAGGUAGAAUUCCCGGUGUAGCGGUGAAAUGCGUAGAGAUCGGGAGGAAUACCAGUGGCGAANGCGGCCUUCUGGACUGACACUGACGCUGAGGUACCAAAGCGUGGGUAGCAAACAGGAUUANAUACCCUGGUAGUCCACGCCGUAAACCAUGUCGACUAGCCGUUGGGGUCCUCGA